GCACCCUAAGACCAUUAUGGAGUCGAUUCUUAUUCUAAUAGGGCCAACUCAUCUAGUGGAGUACUGAGUUGGAUAUCUUGACCAACCAAUCAAGCUGGAACAUCAUCGACUCAGCCUUAUGCAACAAAGAUCAAGGUGUGGAGGACAUAGCCCAUAAAGUCUUGAGAGUAAUGGCUAAGAUGGGCAUUGACCUCAAUGUUGAUGCUGGGGCUAGAGCAGCCUCA
rnacentral:lncRNA from 1 species